rnacentral:rRNA from 1 species
UACAGAGGGUGCGAGCGUUGUCCGGAAUCAUUGGGCGUAAAGAGCGUGUAGGCGGCCACUUAAGUCCUGCGUGAAAUCUUGCGGCUCAACCGCAAGCGGUCGUGGGAAACUGGGUGGCUAGAGUCCGGAAGAGGCGAGUGGAAUUCCUGGUGUAGCGGUGAAAUGCGCAGAUAUCAGGAGGAACACCGAUGGCGAAGGCAGCUCGCUGGGACGGUACUGACGCUGAGGCGCGAAAGCGUGGGGAGCAAACAGG